UGACAGCACCCAGAGGAAGCCCACGCAGACACACAGGGAGAAUGUGCAAACACCACACAGACAGUGGAGUCGAACCAGAGUCCAUUUAUUGACCAGCGCAUUCCAUUAAAGGUCCACACCUUCCUCAGUCUCCUUAUCAAUUAUUGGCAUGUUCUUCGUAUCCUCCACUGUGAAGACUGACUGCUGUGUACUCCUAUUCCUGAACCCUACUGGAUAGCAAUAACUAGGGUGCUAGACGGUGAAGAUUUGCAGACUGAAAUCUCAAACUCGUAUGCAGAUUGUGAUUAAGUUAACCAGCAUUUGAAGAACCAAACAUGGAGAAUAACUUGCCCAAAAUUCUGCAACCCUGUCCCUGACAGCAUUGUCGGUCUCUCUGCGCCAAAUGGACUGUGAAUGGUUCAAGACAGCAGCUCACUACCAUCUUCUCAAGGGUAACUAGAGAUGGGGAAUAAAUGCUGGCUGAGCCAGUGAUGCCCAUAUCCUGGAAAUGGUUUCUAUCUCUAAUUGCUGAGUUUGGGGAGAAUGUGCAAACUCCACACAGGCUGUUGACCAAGGCUGGACUCCAACCUUGUACCUGGUGCUGUGAAGCAGCAGUGCUAUAGAGCAAUUUAAAUCAAAACAGAUGACCCCUGCUCAUUGCUGUUUGUGGAGAAUCAUUGCCCAGAGAGACAUCCUGAGAUUCAGAAAGAGACAAUAUGAAUUCAAUCAACUCCUGCCGAGUUAAUGUGAUUAACAACAACAUCAAUACUCCAACAGUGUUAUGAGACUUCGUACCUACUAUAUCAUUUACGAUUUUUAACCCAUGGGAAGUUUGUUACCAUCUUCAAUGACAGCCAUAAUACUCUGACCACUUUGACAGAGCCACUGCUAGGCAGUUCUAAUAGUUAUCAAUAGAUUGAAUCUAAACAGAAUGCCCCACAACAGGAAGUGCUCUGACACUCAAUGCCCGUAAUUCAAGGUCAUUUUUCUAAAACCACUCGCGUCUGGCAAUACCAUUGAAUGUAUUUUAUACAGGAGUCUUUCAGUCUCAAUUGUCAGUUCCAGUCCAUGAAGCAGCCAGUAACAUGCCAGUGAAUUGAAUUCUAACAGCAGCAUUGCCCUGGCAGGAGAGAUUGAGGAGCUUGAAGCUGUCUUCUCUGGAGUAUCUAAACAUGAAACACUUCAAAUGAACAAAAAUCUUCAAGCGCUCGAUAGGACAGAUACAGGAAGGAUGUGCUCCUAGGCUGAUGUGCCUGGAAUAAAAUAAGCACCAACUAUGGUAUCUUUACCCAGCAUCACCUUAAGCUGCAUCAAUGUUGAAGAUUUAUUUGCUGCCUAAUUCAACUCUCUCGAUCACUCCCAUUUUUCACUGCUGUAAUGUUGAUGACUGUGCAAAUGUAUAAGAUUUAAUUUAAUCCAUCCCAAAGCCUCUCUGUACCUGUGUCUCACUUGUGUUCACUGAGAUGCUCAUUCAAUCUGACCUCUUUACAAACCCUGCCCUGAUAUUUCCUUCGAGGGCUCAGAAUUAAUUAUUCACAGAAUUGUUACUGUACAAAAGGAGGCUGAUUGGCUCAUCAGCUCUCCAAAGGAUCACCUCACUGAAUGCCAUUCUUCUCCCUUUACCCCAUAAACCUUCCAAUAACACCAGCGAGUUCACAACUAACCACAGCGAUCGGAUUUGUUUUGUUUGUUCAUGGGAUCACGGCAUCACUUGCUGGGGCAGCAUUUGUCAUCCAUUCUGACUGCCCAGGAAAUGGUUCAGAGUCAACCCCAUUAUUCAGGGUCUGGAUUGACAUGUCGGCUGGACCAGAUCAGAACUAACACAGUCUCCCAGGCACAAUGACAUGAGGAGUUGAUUUCUGGUCUAUUAUCCUAUUUCAGAAAUAAUAAUGAAUAAUGUUUGCAGUUGAAUUAAAAGUGAAAGACCAAAAUGGGUUUUAUUCUGA